ACAACACACGUCCACAAGGGGUGAGUUACUCUGACAACGCUAAAACAUACGUCCACAAGGGGUGAGUUAGUCGGACAACAUACGUCCACAAGGGGUGAGUUAGUCGGACAACGCUACAACAUACGUCCACAAGGGGUGAGUUAGUCGGACAACGCUACAACAUACGUCCACAGGGGGUGAGUUAGUCGGACAACGCACGUCCACAAGGGGUGAGUUAGUCGGACAACGCUACAACACACGUCCACAAGGGGUGAGUUAGUCUGACAAUGCUACAACAUACGUCCACAAGGGGUGACUUAGUCUGACAACGCUACAACACACGUCCACAAGGGGUGAGUUAGUCGGACAACACACGUCCACAAGGGGUGAGUUAGUCAGACAACGCUACAACAUACGUCCACAAGGGGUGAGUUAGUCUGACAAUGCUACAACACACGUCCACAAGGGGUGAGUUAGUCGGACAACGCAUGUCCACAAGGGGUGAGUUAGUCGGACAACGCUACAACAUACGUCCACAAGAGGUGAGUUAGUCGGACAACACACGUCCACAAGGGGUGAGUUAGUCAGACAACGCUACAACAUACGUCCACAAGGGGUGAGUUAGUCGGACAACGCUACAACAUACGUCCACAAGGGGUGAGUUAGUCGGACAACGCUACAAUAUACGUCCACAAGGGGUGAGUUAGUCGGACAACGCACGUCCACAAGGGGUGAGUUAGUCGGACAAUGCUACAACAUACGUCCACAAGGGGUGAGUUAGUCGGACAACGCACGUCCACAAGGGGUGAGUUAGUCGGACAACGCACGUCCACAAGGGGUGAGUUAGUCGGACAACGCACGUCCACAAGGGGUGAGUUAGUCUGACAACGCUACAACAUACGUCCACAAGGGGUGAGUUAGUCGGACAACGCUACAAAAUACGUCCACAAGGGGUGAGUUAGUCGGACAACGCACGUCCACAAGGGGUGAGUUAGUCGGACAAUGCUACAACAUACGUCCACAAGGGUUGAGUUAGUCGGACAAUGCUACAACAUACGUCCACAAGGGGUGAGUUAGUCGGACAACGCUACAACAUACGUCCACAAGGGGGUGAGUUAGUCACACAACGCUACAACAUACGUCCACAAGGGGUGAGUUAGUCAGACAACGCUACAACAUACGUCCACAAGGGGUGAGUUAGUCGGACAAUGCUACAACAUACGUCCACAAGGGGUGAGUUAGACGGACAACGCUACAACAUACGCCCACAAGGGGUGAGUUAGUCGGACAACACACCUCCACAAGGGGUGAGUUAGUCGGACAACGCUACAACAUAAGUCCACAAGGGGUGAGUUAGUCGGACAACGCUACAAUAUACGUCCAGAAGGGGUGAGUUAGUCGGACAACGCUACAACAUACGUCCACAAGGGUUGAGUUUGUCGGACAACAUACGUCCACAAGGGGUGAGUUAGUCGGACAACGCUACAACAUACGUCCACAAGGGGUGAGUUAGUCAGACAAAGCACGUCCACAAGGGGUGAGUUAGUCUGACAACGCUACAACACACGUCCACAAGGGGUGAGUUAGUCUGACAACGCUAAAACAUACGUCCACAAGGGGUGAGUUAGUCGGACAACAUACGUCCACAAGGGGUGAGUUAGUCGGACAACGCUACAACAUACGUCCACAAGGGGUGAGUUAGUCGGACAACGCUACAACAUACGUCCACAAGGGGUGAGUUAGUCGGACAACACACGUCCACAAGGGGUGAGUUAGUCGGACAACGCUACAACAUACGUCCACAGGGGGUGAGUUAGUCGGACAACGCACGUCCACAAGGGGUGAGUUAGUCGGACAACGCUACAACACACGUCCACAAGGGGUGAGUUAGUCUGACAACGCUACAACAUACGUCCACAGGGGGUGAGUUAGUCGGACAACGCUACAACACACGUCCACAUGGGGUGAGUUAGUCUGACAACGCUACAACAUACGUCCACAAGGGGUGAGUUAGUCUGACAACGCUACAACACACGUCCACAAGGGGUGAGUUAGUCGGACAACACACGUCCACAAGGGGUGAGUUAGUCGGACAACGCUACAACAUACGUCCACAAGGGGUGAGUUAGUCGGACAAUGCACGUCCACAAGGGGUGAGUUAGUCGGACAACGCACGUCCACAAGGGGUGAGUUAGUCGGACAACGCACGUCCACAAGGGGUGAGUUAGUCGGACAACGCACGUCCACAAGGGGUGAGUUAGUCUGACAACGCUACAACAUACGUCCACAAGGGGUGAGUUAGUCGGACAACGCACGUCCACAAGGGGUGAGUUAGUCGGACAACGCUACAACAUACGUCCACAAGGGGUGAGUUAGUCGGACAACGCACGUCCACAAGGGGUGAGUUAGUCGGACAACGCACGUCCACAAGGGGUGAGUUAGUCUGACAACGCUACAACAUACGUCCACAAGGGGUGAGUUAGUCGGACAACGCACGUCCACAAGGGGUGAGUUAGUCGGACAACGCUACAACAUACGUCCACAAGGGGUGAGUUAGUCGGACAACGCUACAACAUACGUCCACAAGGGGUGAGUUAGUCGGACAACGCUACAACAUACGUCCACAAGGGGUGAGUUAGUCGGACAACGCACGUCCACAAGGGGUGAGUUAGUCUGACAACGCUACAACAUACGUCCACAAGGGGUGAGUUAGUCGGACAAUGCUACAACAUACAUCCACAAGGGGUGAGUUAGUCGGACAACGCUACAACAUACGCCCACAAGGGGUGAGUUAGUCGGACAACACACC
rnacentral:lncRNA from 1 species